UUUCAUACAAAUUAAUGGAAAUGGUACAGAAUAACAGAAUUGUCUGACAAGUUCAUAAAUAUUUUUACAGAAACAUCUACACCGCUGCUCCACUUCAGCCCUUCUUACACAGAGGACACAUUUGACUAUGAGUGCCUUGGUACAACGCUCCCAUGUUUGAUACAUAUACAACUUCCUAUUCCAAAGCUGAAAAUGGUCAAGCAUUGAUGAAAACACUGUACAGAAUUCCUAUCCUGAGUGAAGACAUUGCGUGGAGAAGGCUUCUACUUAAUGGUGGAUGACUGGAGGUCAUGGGAUUCAGUCUGUUCCAUGUUCGCUUGGUGAGUUCUGCUGGCUGCUGCUGUCACUGCUGCCAGACUGGCGACGACAUCUCCUGCCUUUUAUCAGGACGCUCCGAUAGACCUGCAGGGAAAUGAGAGCAUAACAAGCCUGAAAGAAGAUGGACACGUUUAAGCAGCUGCUGGCCACAGAUGUCAAUCUGCUUGCCAGCUAGUGACAGCCGUACUGUUCAUCUACCCUGACAGCGAGGAAGCCCUGUGCAGGAACACAGCUCUUCAGGUAUGCAUCUGAUCAGACAAAACAUGUUAUCUUUGAAGCUAAAUAUUCUCUUAUUAAUAUUAGCAAUAAGGAGAUAUUUUAAUAUCACAGGAGAGCUACCAAAGAUAUUAAAAUAUCACAGAAGAGCUACCAAAAUACAAACUAAACAAAGCACGAAUUAGGCUGAAAAGUACCUUUCUAAAGAAGAGGGAAAGCGAGCCCAUCUUCCGGGACCGAGCAGCUGUGGCAGCAGUGAGGGGCUGGGCUGGCCUUGGCUCUCCAGAGGUGAUGUGCUGAACAGUGACCUGUCCUGGGAGCUGCAGCGCUGCCCCCGACAUCUGAGUGCUCAGGGGGCCCGUGAGAGCCUGGGCGCUGAGGGGCUGAAUGGAGCCAGAGACUGCCUGCGGCUGGGCCCCAACAUUGACCUGCACUGGGAAGAAAGUUAUUCCUCCAUUUUCAUUGGCGAUACCUGUAAUUUAAGAAAAGAGUCUGACAUAAGAGCGAGUUGUAGGGGGUUGUUUAGUGUGGAUGGUGUUUCCUGUUACAGCUUUUUCUUAAUAAUUCAGUGUACCUUACAUUAAUUGAUUAUAAUUUGUAGUAUAUUAUAGAUAAGGAAACAAGAAGAUAACGGAAUUGAACUAAUCUUUAAUUAUAACGUCACUUUCUUCCAGCUGAGGAAGCAAAGCUCACUGAAAAAGUUGUUGUAUUAACAGAGUCACUGAGCAUCUUUGUGCCGUCUCUAAAUUCUGCUCAUCUAUUCAUACCUUCUUAAGCCUGCUUUCCUGCUCUGGGCGUGCUGUUUUCCCCCACAUCCCCUUACUGGAUAUUGGACAGAAAUCAGCCUGAUCUGACAGCAGCUUUUCUCUUACCUUGUACAGGUAUGGUCACAGUUUGCCCAUUAUUGGCUGUCACGGUGGCAGUUGCUACUGUAACCAAUGUCUGGCCAGGCACUGGAGUUACUGACACGGUGUCAGGGUUCACAUUCUGCACAGGCACCGUAUUUACCACGGGCUGCUGGGCAACUCUGACUGGAGUUGAGGUGUCAGAGGGAUUAUCGUUAUCGACAAACAGCCUCCUCCUCGUAGGAUGCGCUGUAGGAGAGCUGUAUCUGUCAUACAGGGUUGUAGGGGAAGAUGAAAUGCCUGUGGGUUUAAAAAACAAAAAGAAAACAAUCUUGUUGUAAAAUCCCUUAUUAUACAAAUAGAUAAAAAAGAAAUCUGAUGAGACCCCAAAGAUGACAACUGGAAGCAUUUAAAAUUAAUGUCUACAUCUGUGGCUCACAGAUUAUGAGAUUAUUUGAUCUCAUGUAACAUGGCACUGAGUAGCUUUUUCUCAGCAAAUGCGUUAUGCUUUAGUUCCUCUGUAAAAAAAAAUCUGAAGCCUCACAGAGCUGAACAUACACUGGAGCUUCUAAUCUGGUGUAACAAACCAAGCUGCUGAGCAGAGCUGAUGUAUUUAUACAUGUACAUGUGUGUACACAGAUGGUGUUAAUAGACACAAACUCCUGAAACCACUGACACGGGACUGUUCUGAUCUGAAAUAAGGAAGGUUUCAGUCUUAGACAUCUGACUUAACUAUGCAGGUUACAACAGAAAUAGCAUUUACAGGUGCCUGAUUGUACAGUAACCACUAGAGCAGCUUCCUUCCUGUAUGCCAUUUAGAUUGUAAAUUCAGGUCACAGUGUAGGAGUGAUCAAUACGUUGUGCUUGAAAAAUAGCUCACCUUUUCCCAGGCCUCCACUUUCAGCUCGGACCUCAUUUAGUCGUCUUGGUGUCAAUGGAGAACUGACAACACUGCUGGCAGCAGAUCUCUCGAAGUACUGAGGUGGCAUGACCUAAAAUAGUUGUACUUUUAUCAGUGCAGCUGUAGCACAAAUUCAAUGCACAGCUGAUUUUUAGAACUUCUAGUCUAAACAUGUUGAACAGUGAAACUAUACAGAAGAAAAAUGAAGAACACUGAAAAAAUACUGUAACCUUAAACUAAAAACUGUGUAAGUCUGGGCAUGCGAAGCCUCUCCUGCAAGAGCUGAUGUCCACCCUCCACCAUUCUGCUGAACAGGAGCCCCACGUGAGCCAUGUUACACAAUACAGAGCAGCGCUCACCUCUUCACAGCUCGGAACUUUGUUGUCGUUAUCUCUGAUUCUGUCCCACAGGAUGGACUCCUGUUUCCAGGCCAUGCUUUCCAAGAUCUGUUCUUCAAUAUGAUUAAGGUGUUUCACAACUUCCCGACAAAGGCCAUCUUCUGCUCUAAUGAAAACCUCAAUUACCUGUAAAGCAGACAAGGAUGAAGUCCAUGUAAUACUGAAUAAAUCAGUGACUGAGUAUAA